UUAAUUGAAGCCAAAAAGAGGCAUUUCAUUGUUAAUGAAAUAAUUGGUAUUAAGACCCAAUUAAA
rnacentral:tRNA from 1 species